UGCACUCACUGGAUACAACACAAGACUUUCCUAGUGACAAAUCCACCAGGGACUUCGUCAGCUUGUUCUCUAAGCCCUUAGCAGUAUUCCGUAUGUUCCAAGCUCUCUGGACAGGACCUUGUUAGCUAUCCCACCAGUUACAGUCGCUCAAAAAAAACGGCUUUCUGGGCGGAGGUGGAGCACGCUUUAGUCACUACACUCGGGAAGCAGAGGAAUUCGGAGCUCCUUGAGCUGGAGGACCAACCUGGUCUACAAGGCGCGUCCCAGACCAGUGAGGGCUACACAGUGAGACCUGUCUCAACAACAGAACAGGACGAUUAUUUUCUAAAAGAGACAAACAUGGAAGAGGCAGGAAGAGAGGGAGUGGAAAGGGAAUGUGGAGGUUAAGGAGCACUACAGAGGUCCUGCUCCCCGCUGGGAUCCAUCAGGCUUCCUGCUGUGAGUGAGCUGGAGACCAAGACACUGCAGCCCGCGCCCUUCUCCUCUGCGUUAGAUCCAGAAUCCCACCUCCUUCACCUCCACCUAAAUCCCUCCCGGCUGACCCGCGUCCAGGGUCUGAAAACCAAGAGACUCCUGAGGUCCAUUCGCCUUGAUCUCACCCUGAGCACAGCCGCGGACGCCUUGAUCUCACCCUGAGCACAGCCGCGGACGCCUUGAUCUCACCCUGAGCACAGCCGCGGACGCCUUGAUCUCACCCUGAGCACAGCCGCGGACGCCUUGAUCUCACCCUGAGCACAGCCGCGGAGCAGGCUGACUGGAGCCCACGAUACUAAGUCCCAAUGCAAUAUAUAAUCUUUUGUCAUCCUCAGAAGUUGGAAAGCUGAAGCAAUGUCUGUCCCAGGAAUGAAGAUUGUGUGGCAGAUUCCUAAGGCCUUCUGGUCUCUCAGUAUGCUUACUUAUUUAAAAGGACAAUUCUCUGCUUUUGAAUAUGUCUUGUAGGUUUUUCUGUGCCUGUGAAGGAACAAAAGUUGCUAUCUUUAGUUCAAAUCUGGAAGUCAUAUGGAUUCCUAGUGCAAACGAAGUAUGGAACAUACUUGGAAAAGUUGAAAUAACAGAAGAUAAGGCCGGCUAGGUGCCAGAAAAAUCAGGCCAAGAGGACACAAAACUGAGUUUCUGUCUUGUCUACUUGCAAAUAAACUUGACUUGAGUCAUCAUUAUUAUUGCAACAGGGUCUUAUAAUGUAGCUCAGGCUGAUUCCAACUGGAGAGCUGCCCAACUGAAAUGCCUGACCUGGGAUUCCAGAACACAUAGCCACAUCUCUCAGCCAAAUACACUGACUCUGAACAGCUUGCCAAAUCCUAUCACUUCCAUGGUAACAGCUGCAGUUUUCAGUGGAGAGGAAGGACCCAGUCCUAAAGCAUUUCCAGAAUUCAUCCUGCCAAGAGCUGCCUUAUGUCCACGCUUUAUAUAGGAUUGGUUCCUGUUGUCAAAGACAAACAACCUAAAUUCUUUUUGUUUGUUCAUUUUGGUUUUUGUGAUAGAGUUUUACUAUGUAGCCCUGACUAAUCUUAUAAACCAGGCUGAUCUCGAAAGCUCUGCCUUCCUGUCUUCUGAGUGCUGGGAUAAAAGGCAGGAGCUCAGCCCCAAUCUAAAUGUUUAACAAUCCACUGGUGUAAUCUUUUCCAUUCGAAGCCUAGGGCACAAGAGCACACUGGAGCCUGCCUAAAAGUGUGUUGCCUCAGUGGCAACUAUUAUCUGCUCUAAAUAAACUCCUUUACUACUUAAAGAAUUUGUGCCUCUUUCUCUCACAAAGAUCUACUCAUACAAAGAAUCAUGACCACAUUCAGCACAUUAGAAGAUGCAAGAUGAUGCUCAGAUGUUUAUCAACUGAGUUAUUAUACUUCUGGCAUUAUGUGACACACACACUUCUAUUAACAUCUAGUGGCCCUGAGAAGUUCCACAGCAGGACACCAAUAGCUACGGCUGGCACAACCAGGGGGAGAGAGACUCUGUCUUCAGCCAAGUGAAUUAAAUUAAAUUAAAUCAUAAUUUAAUCCUUACUGUUGCCACCACAUGCUUCUGGAAAAUGGAUAAUCAGUCCUACAUCCAUCUGGUUCCAGUUUCCUGAAAUGGCGUGGACCACACGGUGACCAUUGCAUUGCUGCUCGACAAAGUUCCAGCAUUUCCACAUUGCAGAGCACGCUUCUCCAGCACCUUUUAAGCCUUCAUUUUCAUUGAUGCUCAAUAUUAAUGCCUUUCAAUUUGGUCAGUUUUGUGUGGGUUCAGUCAGGUGUCUGCCUCCCUGAGAUCUGAAGACACAGUGGAAGCUUGCACCCUGGGAGAAUGAAGUGUUUGUUCCUUGAUGACAUGAGGAAGCUCUGCCCCACGACUCCUGAAGUCUUCUAGACUCGAGCCUAGACAUAUAUUCAUUUGUCAUAUUUUUUAAAGCCGGAUCUCAUUGAAGGCAGCCAAGGCAGGAAGUGAAGCAGGGGCUGUGGAAGACCACUGCUUACUCUUGGUGCCCAGGACUUGCUCGGCCUGCCUGCUUUUCAUUCUUUUCACUUCUUUGAGACAGGGUCUCACUGUGUAGACCCAGCUGUCCUGGAACCCACAACCUCACAGCUCACAGACUCACCUUCCUCUGCCUUCAGAGUGCUAGCAUGAAAGGUUCCCACUCGCUCCUCCUCCCUGAGCGCCAGUACCGCACCCGGACCCCUCAGCUUUUCCAGCGAUCGCAGACCAGGCAGAGAGCGGCUCCAAGGCUCCAGUCCACAGCCCCACCCCAGCCCCAAACCAGGCCUUCACGCGUGAGUACCCUGGAUCUGCGAAGGCCUAGACCCGAAAACUCCCGCGGUUUCCUUCGCCGAGUCCUGUUGGGGGUCCCGGUCGCGCCGCUGUCGUCGUGGAGCCCCUGGCAGCUCGGUGAGUCCCCUGUGGUGUCUCAACGCUUAGGAGGAAGCGAGGGGCGCAUCACGUCUGCGAGACUAGUUAUCAUUGGAUCCUUAGUUACAGUUUCUUCCUAAAUAGAGUUAUUCCUGGCUGACAUCCGGAGUUUGUGUUGAAUCGCUGAGCAGUUUUUUCGUUUUUGUUUUGGUUUAUUUGUUUUGGUUUUGGUUUUGGUCUCCCUGUAACCCUGGCUGGCUUAGAACUCACCAUGCUGACCAGGUUAACUGAGAACCAGACAGCCUCCUCUUGGGCUUCUCCGCUGGCAUCAAAGCUUUGGGUGCGCCACCACGCCCCACCACUUCCUCAUCAUUCUCUUAAAAACAAUUCUAUGGAAGAGAACACAGAAUGGAGACAGAAGAGGCAAAAGAAAUGGAAAUAGAAAGGAAAAGCGAAGGAACGCAACCGGGGGUGCGGUGACAAGACCCUGUCUUUAAAAAGAAAGAAAACAAAAAUCUUAAAGGAAGAGUCCGGGAAACGCGGUCACAAACGUAGAGGCGGUUUCCACCUGCAGCUUCCCACUAUCCCGGAAAUCUACAUGGCUUCCCGCUAUGAGUGAGCUGGAGACCAAGACGCAGCAGCCCGCGCCCUUCUCCUCUGCGUUAGAUCCAGAAUCCCACCUCCUUCACCUCCACCUAAAUCCCUCCCGGCUGACCCGCGUCCAGGGUCUGAAAACCAAGAGAGUCUUCCUCCUGAGGUCCAUUCGCCUUGAUCUCACCCUGAGCACAGCCGCGGAGCAGGCUGACUGGAGCCCACGGUGAGAGGAGCGAUCCCAAUCCGUCCCUGGAGGUCUUCGGAUCGUGCGCGCUGUAGUGCUGGAGGUGACGGGGUGGGGGUGGGUGCUCCCUGUCAAACCGACAGUUUACCCACGAGGAACCCGAAACUCGGAGGGAGAGAUGUGUCAUCCUGGCGCACUUGGUGCGAAGGCCGGAGCGGAAUGGAUUCCGUAUGCGCUCCGCUGUCUGCUGGUUUCACCCGGGCAGUGGAUGGGAGAGAUGACGAUGGUGGGCUCCAUGCCUGGCCUGUCGGCUUUGGAAAGCGAGUCAAGUGUCCUCUGUGGAGUUUGCUUCAAGUGGUCGAUCGAGGGACUCAUAUGUCUCCCUGGUGGUCUAGUGGCUAGGAUUCGGCGCUUUCACCGCCGCGGCCCGGGUUCGAUUCCCGGUCAGGCAAAGUCCUUUUAGCAGCCUCUCUCCUCCCCCUGGUCUUCCUUUGGCCGACUUUUAAAUAGUCCUGUGAGGCACAAGAGCCCUCUCCUUGACUCACAAGACCCCAGAGACAGGGCUUCCAACAGGCAAGUUCUUCUGGGCUCUCCCAGAGAGUGGUCUUUGUUGAGUUUGAGAUAAAGGAGUUGAGAGAGGGGAAAUGGGUGACAUUAGUUCCAAUGUUCCUUUUCAAACAAAGAAGGAAAACAAAACCUCAGAAACAUACAGUGACUUUAUUCUUCCCAGAAACUCCCAAUUUAGCACCUUUCCACCUUGGAAUCUAUUCCAUUUUACCUAUUUACCCAUCAUUGGAGAGUAAUUCCCACACGCCAAGAUCUCUUGGUUGAGCUUUAGUGGCCCCUUUCCUUUAAGGCCAGGGGAUGGCUUUAUCCUCCUAGAGAAGCCCCUCUUGUCCCUCAGAACUCUACACUCACACUCUUAGAGAAGCUUCAGGUAGAAGUCACUUGGGUUUUCCUGUACAGUCCAGACCCUGCUUUUCCAGUGAAGCUCAAAAUAGCUAAAAAGUCAGGGUUUCUAUUGCUCUGAUGAAACACCAUGACCAAAGCAACUUGAGGAGGGAAAGGCUUUAUUCGGCUUACACUUCCACGUCAUAGUCUGUCCUUGAAGGAAGUCAGGGCUCAAACUGGGCAGGAACCUGGAGGCAGGAUCUGAUGCAGAGGCCACGGAGGGGUGCUGCACACUGGCUUGCUCCCCUGGCUUGAUCAGCGUGUUUUCUUAUAGAAUCCAGGACCGGCAGCCCAGAGAUGGCACCACCCACAAAGGACUGGACCCUCCUCCAUCAAUCACUAAUUAAGAAAAUGCCAUACAGGUUUGUCUACAACCCAAUCUUAUGGAAGCAUUUUCUUAAUUGAAGUUUCCUCCUCUCAGAUGACUAUAGCUUGUGUCAUUGACAUAAAAUUACCUAGCACAGAGGCUCUGAAGAUGAUUAUAAUUAGUUUGCCAUCCUAAUGGCAUCAGCUGCUCUCACACCCUGGUCUUUUUGGUGGCCUUUUGAUUUAGUGGCUACUGCUUCUGCCUCCUCCUCUUCCUCCUCCCUUUCUCUUUCUCGACAGUAUCCCAGACUCCCUGGCACUCAAUAUGUACCUGGGGAUGACUUUCAACCCCUAAUCCUAUUGCCUCUUACCUUCCAAGUGCUGGGGUUACAGGUGUGUGUUACUACACCCGACUCUGCACUGGAGUAUUGGGUCAAUCUUAACUCUACAUUAAUGUCACAGUUCGCAACUGCCCUCACCACCCAACUGAAUCACAGACGCGUGCACUCGGUGCCGCUGCUAACGCAACGGGGAGAAAUCACUACUGCAGAACUGGUGGUUCCGAAACCCCGGAAUCUAGCAGAGACCAGUUCCCGCUCGGUGCUUACCUAUGCCCAGCGUGGCGGGCAGCUUGCCUACGCGGGUCGGGAGAGCAGGGCAGGACCAGGCGAUUUGGAACUGAGGCUGAGCCAACAGCACCAGCACAACAAAGUUGUCGCUGGGCUCGUGGCUCGCCGUGAUCGUAUAGUGGUUAGUACUCUGCGUUGUGGCCGCAGCAACCUCGGUUCGAAUCCGAGUCACGGCACUAUCGUCCUUCUGCCCGGCGAUGUUUUGCCAAAAGCUCAUCCACCAUCAGUGGGGCAUGGGGAGCUCAAAAUCCCCAGCUAGCUAGUAAUCUCCUCGGGACUCUGGGAUUGUUGCGCUUGAGCAGCUCACAGCAGUUGAUUCCAUCAUCGCCCUGGGAUUUUCCCAAUUAAACGGAAUUUCCGCAUCUUAGUAAACUUCUUACUUUGAGUUGUCUGUGUUGUACUUACCCCAGGUUUUAUGCUAACAGAAAAGGACUGAACCACAUUUCGGUUGGAGUUCAAUAUAUACUGCCUUGAUUUUGACAAACAUUAUUCACACCCAGGUCAAGUUACUAUGAAUUACUUUCCCACAGCAAGACCAGAUUAGUGACCACUGACCUAUACAUGACCUCCUUUCUUUUCUCCCUCCCUCCUCUUUCCAGGUUCUUACUAUUUAGCCCUGGCUGACCUGGAAGCUAUUCAAACACAAACUCAGAGAUCCACCUGCGGCUGCUUCACAAGUAGUUGGACAUAAGACCUAUGCCACUAUAUAUAAUCUAAGUAUUAUUUGAUAAUAAAAUGGAUACAUGUACCGUACUUCUUGCUUUUAAAAAAAAUGCCACGUGAACCAGGUGGUGGUGGUGCAUGCACUCGGGAGGCACAGGCAGGCAGAUCUCUGAGUUCAAGGCCAAGGCCAGCCUGGUACAGAGCAA
ensembl:lncRNA